AUGAUUCUCCCUCCUCCUUCCUUUCAUUCAACACUACAGCCUUCCAAUGCGCCGCAAUCCUCACGUACUUUUGACGCACGCAUUGGAAACUUCUCCAGGACACGACUCCGUCCACACACUCACACACGCACACGCGAACACGCACCAGUCAAAAAGUGGGGAAGCGCUAAUGUAGGUGCGUGCGAGUGUGUGUGUGUGUGUGUGUGUGUGUGUAUAUUUGUGUGUUUGAACAAUAAGUACGCACCGCAGAAUUCAUUUCAGCUCGCCGCGAUCUGCCACGCAACGAAAGUGGAAAGUCCCAGCUUUGUUUCUGGUUGCGUGGUGCCUCUGGGAUGUACCCUAAAAAUACAGCAAACAUCCCUACAGUAUGGUGCAACUGCCACCCACUUCAAGGUUAUCAUGGAAGACAUCUUCAAAUUGCUCUCCCAUGUUUCCACUCUCUACAAGAAAUGGAGAGGCACAGCGAAGGAGACAGAGAGGCUGCAUUUUUUCCCCCCCUUCUCUUUAUGUUUUGCUUUCUCAGAAAAGUGGACCAUUACUUUUCUUGAGGUGUGAGUGUCGGGUAUGUAUUGUGUGUAGUCGCUCUCACACCUGAUGACAAAGCUGAUCAGAGGGUGCCCAGGGACAAGUCAGGGGCUCAGGCUCCCAAAAUAGUCUUGGCACCCAGCAGACAAUAUCCAUCUUCAGAUACUCCUGCUGCAGAGGCAAUCUUGGACUGGGUCCCUCUGUGUGUAUGUUAAUGCCACUGGUUAGCAUUUGGAUCAGCUUAAAAUAUGCUGUUAAUAAACCACCCUGAUAGAGGAUGCUGUUAUGCCCAUGACAGACUUGAGUACAAAGACUGUUCCCUCUCUCUCUCUCUCUCUCUCUCUGUGUGCGCUUUUUCUAGUGCUCAAACCCUCUUGAGAUUUCUAAGAUAAAGACUUACAAUUGUCUCUAACGUCCUCCUCUUAAUUACAUCCUGUCCCAGAGAUUGGCCUGUUACUCACUACUCUGAAAGUGUUUGGUUUUAUAACAGGUAAUGCAGACUUUUGCGGGUGCCAUGAUGACUUUGAGAAUACGUGUGGGAGUGAGAAAUCUCAGAACUCUUUUCAACUAAUAGGCUCCUGCUAAUCUGUUAUACAGAGCGAUUUAAUGGACUUGGGAUUUAGACCCCCUCAACGUAAGAUCUGGGGCUUAGCCAGUCACUUUCUUGCUACUGUACAAUCAACUCCCAUGAAGCUUGAAGCCCACAGUGUAAUGUAGCUCACACUGCUUUCUCCCAAAUUUCACAAACAGAACAAAGACAUGGCUGGAAAGAAUUUAAAAUGUCAAUUUCUCUGCAAAGGCAAAGCCUAUUAUAGAUCUUACAGUCUGAGUGGAUGUCAAUAAUAUUUGCGCCAAAAUACAAUGCAGUGCCCAAAGCUUGUUAUUCAUUUACAGUGGUGCUGUGGUGUCUGACAACUUUAUAAGCACAACACCACACCUUUUCUGAUGGGUAAACUCAGAGAUAAAGCAGCAGAGCUAUAUGGGAAUUAUUCAAAUGAGGCUUAUCUGGCCCACUGUAUGCAACAGUAGCCCUGGUGAAUUUAACAGCAGCCUCCAGUUUAGCUCUCCAGCAUGUAUAAACUGUCUGUUUGACUGAAUGCUACUGAGGCAGUGGGAGCAUCUCAGAGAAAUAAUUCAUUCAACAGCAGUCUCAAAGUCUGCCAUUUUUAAUUAAGGAAGUCUAUCAUUUGGCCGGAGAUAACUGUUGUGCUGUGUCGGCCUAACCCAAAUUUGUAAUUGUAAUCAGUUUGGGGAAAUGGGACAUCCAGGCCGGGAACCAUAUACAUACAGCACACAGAGACAGGUAAACAUCAGUACAUUACACUGCUCUGUUUGCUGUUUUAUCUUCAAUUUAAUCUCAGGAUUGCUCAUUGUCCAGCUUCGGUUAAUUAACUAGUUGCUCCAAGUUGCUUUACCAAACGUCAAGACUCAUAAGCUUCACUUAAAACAUG
rnacentral:lncRNA from 15 species